GGGCCCAAGCCCAACAUAUAAAUACACUUAAAUGAACCCAUUUCAGCCACUUUCACCCUCAUAACCUAAACACAACAGCAGCUGAAGUGAGGAGAGAGGUGAGAGCUUUUCACCAUUGUUACUAUUCACUUCAAACUUCCCAAGCUCAUAUCUUGAGCUACGGAGCUCCGAUCGCCGCACCGUUUAUGGCUACGCGUUCCUUGUGAAGAGCUCUACAAAAUCCACUCAAGAAACCCUCAAGGUUUGCUCUAAUACUUGCUUAGCUUUGGAUUUGUGAUAUCAAAUCUGUUGGGAAAGUUUGAUUAUUGUGGCUUUGGGAGCUUUUGGAACUUAUUUGUGCUUGUUGGAGUGGAUUUGAAAGCUUGGAUUG